rnacentral:rRNA from 1 species
GAUGAACGCUGGCGGCGUGCCUAAUACAUGCAAGUCGAGCGAACGGACGAGAAGCUUGCUUCUCUGAUGUUAGCGGCGGACGGGUGAGUAACACGUGGAUAACCUACCUAUAAGACUGGGAUAACUUCGGGAAACCGGAGCUAAUACCGGAUAAUAUUUCGAACCGCUUGGUUCAAAAGUGAAAGACGGUCUUGCUGUUACUUUUAGAUGGAUCCGCGCUGCAUUAGCUAGUUGGUAAGGUAACGGCUUACCAAGGCAACGAUGCAUAGCCGACCUGAGAGGAUGAUCAGCCACACUGGAACUGAGACACGGUCCAGACUCCUACGGGAGGCAGCAGUAGGGAAUCUUCCGCAAUGGGCGAAAGCCUGACGCAGCAACGCCGCGUGAGUGAUGAAGGUCUUCGGAUCGUAAAACUCUGUUAUUAGGGAAGAACAUAUGUGUAAGUAACUGUGCACAUCUUGACGGUACCUAAUCAGAAAGCCACGGCUAACUUCGUG